AGUGAACGCUGGCGGUAGGCCUAACACAUGCAAGUCGAACGGCAGCACAGUAAGAGCUUGCUCUUACGGGUGGCGAGUGGCGGACGGGUGAGGAGUACAUCGGAAUCUACUUUUUCGUGGGGGAUAACGUAGGGAAACUUACGCUAAUACCGCAUACGACCUACGGGUGAAAGCAGGGGAUCUUCGGACCUUGCGCGAUUGAAUGAGCCGAUGUCGGAUUAGCUAGUUGGCGGGGUAAAGGCCCACCAAGGCGACGAUCCGUAGCUGGUCUGAGAGGAUGAUCAGCCACACUGGAACUGAGACACGGUCCAGACUCCUACGGGAGGCAGCAGUGGGGAAUAUUGGACAAAGGGCGCAAGCCUGAUCCAGCCAUACCGCGUAGGUGAAGAAGGCCUUCGGGUUGUAAAGCCCUUUUGUUGGGAAAGAAAAGCAGCAGGUUAAUACCCCGCUGUUCUGACGGUACCCAAAGAAUAAGCACCGGCUAACUUCGUG
rnacentral:rRNA from 1 species